AUUGGAAAGAAGUGAGGGAAAGGUUGCAACACUGUACAGUGUAUAAAAAUUGUGACCAAAGAAGAAGAAGAGAGGAAGCUUAAACUGCGAUUAUAAGGAACAGGAUAUGAGGACUGAAGUGACUGAGUGAACAGUGUAUGAGUAAUAGUAUGUGUGGGAGGGCAAGACAGAAAAGGACACAGCCUGCACAGUAUGGGCGUGGAAGUUUCACACAGAGUUUCACUCCUCAGUCCUGUCAUUCAACAACUUAUAUGGCACUAGCUUUUCACAGGGACAGGUUGGGCCUCGGAGCUGUUGUCUUUUAUCAGCCGUGGUGUUUGGAUAAACACGUGGAAAUCUUAACAGAAAACUUCAUAUCCAAAGGAAGAAGAAUUAUGUGGCAGCUGUCAUCUUAAAUUGGAGUUUUGUUUCAGGGACAAGAAGACAAAGCACCUACCUUUCCUCUGUGGAUCUGAGCAAACUAAGAAAUCACUUGUGUCUCUGAAGGACUCAGACUGAGGAUCAGAGACUUUUCUAUUUGAUCAGAUUGCCAAAGUAACAAACACGCAGAGUACACUGGCAUGCUGCCUACCGCGCUUUGAUCAAAUCAGAGAAAUGACUACAUCACAUCAGACACAUGAAACGGUGGAUGAAGUGGUCCCACUGAAUACCAUCCCAGGAACAGGCGACGCACAAAAUAAUGACAUUAGAAUUCCAUUAACCAGUGGACAGGGUGCUGCCUCCCGCUUCCAUGACCCGAACCACAGGAAACUAGCCAUCUGCAGCAUCAUCUGUGGGAUCUCCUGCAUCGGAAUCAAGGCUCUAGUUAAUUCAGUCAAGGCUGAGACAACAGUGGAUCCAGAGAGAGCUGCAAAGUUUUCAAAACGGGCAAAAAAAUUGAGCAUCAUCUCCAUUGUGACAUGGGUUUCCAUUUUGGCUUCAAUUCCAAUACUGAUGGCACUGAUCUCAUAUCUCAUUACACUGCAAGACUGAUCAACUUUGAUGAAACCUCGACCAGAGGAGUGACUUUUGGAUGUCUAUGGAGACGGACAGUGGACAGUACAUGAAGAUAUUAAGACACUGGUACCUCCGUGGAAAACAAAGAGUGCUUUUCUGUUCUGACGAAAUGAAUGCUGUCCCAGUUUAUGCUUUACACUUCCUCUUAACCAUGUCAUGUUUUUAGACAAGGAAUAACCACUCUGAAAAACAAGUGUCAAAAACUGUACAAAUUUCACAUUUUUUAUGUAUGCUGUAAUAUUUAUUUAACAAUAUAUGAACAUGUGGACAAUUCCAAACUAAAUGACCAUAUAAAAUCCAGCAUUACCUGUAGUUUGAGACAUGACACUACAUGACACAUAUACAUUAUAUGUUAAAGAUUAGAGCAGUCACUCCGCGGUAAUGACCCAGUCCUUAAUACAUUUGCACCCUAAAUGCCAUUACAAUUUAACAUACUCAUUGUUAGAUAGUAUAUACAGUUUAUAAGUACUACAAAAGUUAAUUAAUUAUUCAAUCUGUCAAUCUAAAUUAGCAACAUAAAGUUAUUCAUCAAGGAUUGGGUCUCUACUGGAAAAAAAAAAUGGCACGGCAGUGCUUUGUCAGAACAAGAUCCUGCUCUUGUUGCCAGCAUUAUCAUGGCACUAUUGCAUUGUUACCAUAUUAUCUUUAUUAUACUGUCAAAUGUAUCAUGUUGUUCUUUUAUAAAAACAUAUAAACAGAAACAAUUUAAUAAUAAAACGAGAAAAACAUUUGUGCUCUGAGUUGCUUGAAGGAUUUUGAUCCGCCCUCAUAAAAACGGCAGUUAAGGCAACCUCAUAAAAAAUUUGGCCAAAAAGAAAAAUUACAUAAAUAGGUAGUUUCUCAAGAAGUUGCUGGACAUAUGAAAUACAAAUAUAGACACCACAGAAUAAUCCAGAGAGAGCCACAGGGAAUAAAACCCGACCAGCAGUGGAAUCUUGACACCUCCACUUUUGAUUAGAAAUGCUCUCUGGAGUGCCAUAUUGUUUCCAAGAUAUACAACUAAAACCUCUUCAGCCAUAAAAUUUACAAACACAAAUAACUGAUAAUUAGAUGUACAGGAGUGUACAGAAAACUGAGCAGAGCAAAAAGAUUAAAACAUGCUGCUUGCAGACGCACUUGGCUGUACACAGAAUUUGUGGACAGAAACGUAGUUUUGAAAUUAGCUGCAGUGAAUACAAAUCUCUUUGCCGGCAUG